AUUCCUUAAACAGAUGCUGGUUGAUCUUGGAUUUCCUGCAAGUUUGUGGAUUGGACUAUGGCUUGUGUUUCAUCUGUGACUUAUUCUUUAGUGAUUAAUGGGGGUCUCACUAAACCAUUUCAAGCCAGAAGGGGUAUUAGGCAAGGAGAUCCUAUGUCUCCUUACCUAUUUGUUAUUGCAAUGGAAUAUCUUAACAGAACUCUGAAUCAGUUACAUAAGAAGGGGUAUUAGGCAAGGAGAUCCUAUGUCUCCUUACCUAUUUGUUAUUGCUAUGGAAUAUCUUAACAGAACUUUGAAUCAGUUGCAUAAGAAUGGUGACUUUAACUUUCAUCCUAGAUGCAGGAAACAAAACUGCUCCUAUAUUUGCUUUGCAGAUGACUUGUUGUUAUUCUGUAUUGCUGAUAUAACUUCUAUUCAAUUACUGCAUGAUGCAUUCUUAACAUUCUCUGCAGCAUUUGGACUUUCUGCUAAUAAGUCUAAGAGUGCUGUAUAUUUUCCUGGCAUAUCUCAGAAUGAAAAAGAGGCUAUUCUAGAGGCUUUGGGGUUCUGUGAAGGGCAUCUUCCAUUCAAGUACUUAGGCAUUCCAUUACACUCAAAGAAGUUAAAUAUACAUCACUAUUUGCCACUGAUUGAGAAAAUCACUUAUAGGAUUUCAUGCUGGUCUGCCAAAUUCCUGUCUUAUGCAGGCAGGUGUCAACUUAUCAAAUCGGUAUUAUUUGGGGUCCAAACCUAUUGGUCUCAGAUUUUUAUCUUGCCCAAGAAGGUGGUGAAAGCAAUUGAAGCUAUAUGCAGAUCUUUCCUUUGGACUGGCAAUGGAACAGUGUCCAGAAGAUCAUUGAUAGCUUGGGACAAAAUAUGCGGACCUGUCACUGCUGGAGGAUUAAAUGUUAUUGAUAUCCAGACUUGGAACAAAGCUGCUAUUUCUAAACUGCUAUGGAAUUUAGCUAGAAAAAAGGAUUGCCUAUGGAUCAAAUGGAUUCACUUUUACUACAUAAAAGGUGAUGACAUUGAAACAAUGGCUAACCCAAAAAAUGCUUCAUGGGUAGUCAGGAAAAUAAUAGAGUGCAGGAUUCCUAUUAUGGCUGACAACAUUAUGCAAGGGGAUCUUUUGUUCAGAUUAUCAAGUUUGUGUAAAGCUGGAAAGUUUCAAAGACAUUCUCUUUACAACUCUUUGCUUCCAGUUUUUCCUAGGGUGGAGUGGAAGAACUUAAUGGCUACAACUAAUGUCUUGCCUAGACAUAAGUUUACUGAAACAGUGUUAAACUUACAGAUCUUUGGAAGAACUUAAUGGCUACAACUAAUGUCUUGCCUAGACAUAAGUUUACUGCAUAGAUGGCUGCUCAUGGUCGACUGCCCACAGUUGACAGAUUGCUGAAGUUUGGUAUAAAUGUAGAAGAAAAAUGUGUAUUCUGCCAACAGGAUAUUGAAGUGUUUGAUCAUCUAUACUUUACUUGUCCAGUUACAAGUAAGAUUUGGUAUAGAGUUUGCUGCUGGUUGGGAUGCAAAAGAACAAUAGGAUGUUGGAAGGAUGAAUUGACUUGGAUUUGCUGCAUUGCUAGAAGUAAAGUGUUUAGAAAGGCUGUAGUAGCCACUGCCUUUGUCACCACAGUGUCAUUGAUUUGGAGAUGCAGAAAUGCUAUCAGAUUUGAGGAGAAACCUUUUGAUGAAAACCUUGUAUGUCGAGAGAUUGCAAUUCUUAUUCAUGCACGAGGCAGGAAAUGCAAGAAAUGGUUAAAGGGGUUGCGACAACUUAAUCAUUAUCCUUAGCUAGUAUUGAAUUGUAAUAGCAGUAUUAAUAGUUUGUGUAUA
rnacentral:lncRNA from 1 species